rnacentral:ncRNA from 1 species
AUAAAAGCUGUGAAAGAAAGUAGUAGAAAUACAAAUUGUUUUCAGAGAGUGGAUGGUAGGUGUGAAUCCAUAACAGUUGAUUUCGAAUCCGUUCUUGAGCUAUCAAGGUGAAAUAAAAGUAGCUUUGAUCGUAUAAUCUACGUUACAGAUUAUGAGAGGGUCUAUAUGACCAAUCAGGGUGGCAACGCGGAAGCUUAGCUUUCGUCCCUUUA